rnacentral:lncRNA from 1 species
ACUCUUUCCUGCUGCCUAGUCUGCUGAGCAGAGCUUCAGUCUCCACCAUCAAUCAUCCAGUGAGGAAUUUGCACUUACACAAGGAACUCUUCCUCGGAGAGAUCCCCUCCUGGCAAGUUCCUGGGAAAUGCAGCCUGAAUGAAGAGCUCAAGAGAAGAGCCACACUGUUGGGAGAACAGAACCCACCUGCAGUUCACCAGCCCCAGACCAAGAGCACCUUCUCUAUGCCUCUCUGAAAUGUCCAUCCACUCCAGAGAACCAGCCCCUGACACCCACCCCCUUGCCCUGCCUGCACCGAUUGUGCAAGGAGGGAAGGUCAACAGAGCCAAGUCCAUUGAGGGAUAUCAAGAGAAGCCAGAGUAAACCCUUGAUCUGCGCCAUCUUGUCUGCUCGUGGCUGACAAAGAGAAGGGAAGAUGGAGCCACCAUCUUGAAAACUUCUAGUCCUUAGUUCCUGCCGGCAUUCACCCGUGCAAGCUCCCAGCUUGUUUGUGUCUGCAGCUCGCCUUUACAGGAUGCUCUUUGUUAGAAAAUGAUUUGGGGCUGCUUUUCAUUAAAAAGAAAAGCCU